rnacentral:rRNA from 1 species
AUUGAACGCUUGCGGCAGGCCUAACACAUGCAAGUCGAACGAGUGGCGGACGGGUGAGUAAUGUCUGGGAACCUGCCUGCUGGAGGGGGAUAACUACUGGAAACGGUAGCUAAUACCGCAUACCAUCGGAUGUGCCCAGAUGGGAUUAGCUCGUGGGUGGGGGAAAGGCUCACCUAGGCGACGACCCCUAGCUGGUCUGAGAGGCGGACCAGCAACACGGGAACUGAGACACGGUCCAGACUCCUACGGGAGGAAGCAGUGGGGAAUAUUGCACAAUGGGCGCAAGCCUGAUGAAGCCAUGCCGCGUGGAUGAAGAAGGCCUUCGGGUUGUAAAGUACUUUCAGCGGGGAGGCGUUACCCGCAGAAGAAGCACCGGCUAACUCCGUGCCAGCAGCCGCGGUAAUAC